CUUCUCUUUCCUCAAAUGCUUCACACAACUACACAUACAGUCUAUAGCUUUGGCUUUCCUGACAUUGUAGACAAUAUUGAUAGCUAGGUCAAAUCAAUCACUUGCGGAACAUCGUUAAGGUAAGGUACAUUUCUAAUUUGAAGCUCUGGAAAGUUUUGUGUCGAAGUGGCUACAUUUGGAUCGAAGGGUUCGCAGUCAGGAAGUGUUAAACCUUGCUUUAUUCGACCGGCGCGCCGAGAAUGCAAUACUUGAG
rnacentral:misc_RNA from 1 species